rnacentral:rRNA from 1 species
CAACCUGCCUAUAACUAGGGAAUAACCUUGCGAAAGUAAGACUAAUACCCUAUGAUUUCCUUUGAUGACAUCAGAUUAGGAAUAAAGAUUUAUCGGUUAUAGAUGGGGAUGCGUCUGAUUAGCUUGUUGGCGGGGUAACGGCCCACCAAGGCAACGAUCAGUAGGGGUUCUGAGAGGAAGGUCCCCCACAUUGGAACUGAGACACGGUCCAAACUCCUACGGGAGGCAGCAGUGAGGAAUAUUGGUCAAUGGGCGGAAGCCUGAACCAGCCAAGUAGCGUGCAGGAUGACGGCCCUAUGUGUUGUAAACUGCUUUUAUACAGGAAUAAAGUUAGCCACGUGUGGUUAUUUGUAGGUACUGUAUGAAUAAGGACCGGCUAAUUCCGUGCCAGCAGCCGCGGUAAUACGGAAGGUCCAGGCGUUAUCCGGAUUUAUUGGGUUUAAAGGGAGCGUAGGCCGUCUGUUAAGCGUGUUGUGAAAUGUAGAUGCUCAACAUCUGAAUUGCAGCGCGAACUGGCAGACUUGAGUGUGCGCAACGUAGGCGGAAUUCGUGGUGUAGCGGUGAAAUGCUUAGAUAUCACGAAGAACUCCGAUUG